AUAUUUAGUACUCUCUCCUUGAUGAUAUUUUUUAUCUGCUUGAUGAUAAACCUACUAUUCGCUUUUCCCUUUCUUGAAUGACACCUGGUUUCGAGUCAGCCAUGUGUUGUAGAUUACAAUUUCAUACGAAGCAACAACCACUUCUUUUAUCCGUCAGUACCAAUGGUUAUGCUUGAUCAACUGGAGCAUAUCAUUGACCCCUUUAGGUGGUAAGCUUAUCCCUAACCAUUUUUGCCCUUUCACCCAUGUCUCUUUACUCCAUGUGCAUUGACAAAAUAAAUUCUCAUCAUCUUUCAAUGAUGAACUGUUACAUAGAUUGCAAUCAGUACCUCCUGUCUCGAAAUCCAUCUUUUAUAUUCUAUCUUUUGUUAGUAGUCUACACAAAACAUCAAGUCAAUUGAUAAAUCAAUGUUUAGGUACUGUGAAUCUGUUCCAUAUCAAAGUAGCUAUCUCCACUUCGGUACACUGCUAUUAGCCUAAAGACACUGAGUAAUCUCCUAUCAAAUAAUAGUGAUCAUUGUUAUACCAUGUUCACAUCUUUAACUUCAUUUUAUGCAAAGUUUUCUAGUACCAGCUACAAUCCCCAGGUGGUUUACUUGUCCAAAAAUCACAAUCAUUUUCAUAUAUAAUUCAUUCAUCCAUUUUACACACAAAAUGUCUUUGUUUCUCCAUUAGUAACCAAAUAUGUCCCCCAACUGAUGCCAUGUUCCAUUGUUUGCAACUAUACUUAAGCCUCCUGGUUGUUUCGGCCUACAAAUAUUUUCCCAAGCUACUUCUUCCUUCACUGCCUCCCCACAAAUAUUCCCUACAUUUCCCAUCUAUCUCUUUAACUACACUUCGAGGCAAAAUAAAUACAGCCCCCAAAAAUUAUGAAUGGAAAAUAGGAUAGAUGUAAUAACCUGCAACUUCCCUGCAUACAAAUCUUUUAAAAGUAUUUACCUAAUAUUUUUAAUAUGCAAAAUAUUCAUAGGGAAUUGAUAUUUAUGAAGAACUCUUUUUGUCAGAAUUUGUUUGUUGUCAAAAUUUCUUUAGAAAAAGUUAUCAUUAUUGUAACCAUUUGAAAAUCCAAGACGAGUCUUAGAGCCUAAACAAGGUGCCAUGGGGUCUAAGCACUAUUUCACGGCCUAUUUUUAAUGAAUACAGGUCACUUAGGAAGUUUAAGAACCAAAACGUCCAAGAACGUCCACGACGUUCGGAAACUAGUUCUAAGGGGUACUAGUGUGCGUUAGCCUAUUUGACUAGCUUUUAGGAGCGAAAAUCCAUGAAAAUUGGUGAAAGGGUAGCUAAUAGGUGAUAAAGUUGUUUCAUGGUCGAAACAUCCGGGUACGACUCCCCAAGGACCAACCAAGGGCCCUUGAGGAGGACCCCUACAGGUUGAGACAACAUUGCAUGGGCAAUGUGCAUCGACAAAACAAGCUACCGUCCGUGUGUGGACUGACGGGUAUCCGAUGCGACCAUUGUCCCAUACUUAGCCAAUUUGAAGAAUCCCUUGCCUUCACAAGUCUCUAAACUUACUUACGGAUGUGCAGGAUGGAGGGGUCAGUCCGUCGACUCACAGACGGCCUGUCAACGGGGUUUCGUCUGUGAGGGUUAAAUUUCCUGCAUGUUUUUAAUGUUAAUUAAUUUAAUUAAUUAAGUGGUUUAGUGGUUAUUUAGGGAUUAAGGGGAGACUAAUUAACUAAUUUAACUUCCAUAUAAAGGCCCCAACCCCAAUUAAUCUAAUUACAACUCUCAAUACAAAUACUCUUCCUUCUCUCUUCUUUCUCUCUCUAUUUGGAAGCUACCAUUGAAGACAAGCUAGGGGAGGUUUUGUGGGCUGUAAAGGGACAAAUUCACUAUCAAAUCUUUAUCAAACGUUAAGGUUCCGAUCAUUAAAGGCUUAUUCGAGAUGUCUUGAAGAAGGCUUGGAUAUUCUCUAUCAUUUAAGUGGGUAGGUCCUCACUUUUCGAGGGCAAUGCCACUAUCUUGCCUAUGAAGUUCAUUUCUUUUUUCAAGACUUUUAUGUUCAUUCCACUUUCAUUGUGUAUGACUUGUAUAAGCCUAUAUGUGGCUUCUUAACAUUUGAUAUAGGGCUAUGCCCAUAUUGUGAUGAUCAUAGAUUGUAUGAGUUGUGACAAUCAUUGAGGCUAUGUAAACUUCCUAUACGAAGGGUCUAUGUAUACUUGGUACGACUAUAUAUUAUGUGUAUGUAUAAGUCUAUGUAAACCUCAAAGUAGAUGUAAUGAAAUUUUUAAAUUUCUCUGCA